UUUGUCCCAAUCUUGUUUUUUUUUUAAUUUGGAUCUGGUUUUUCUUCCCAUCUGACAACUGCUGAAUUUUUAGCUUCUAUAACUUGACGAUACUCCUACAAACAAUAAAAAUAAAUUUGAUCGCUGUUGGUUUGACUAUAAAUACUACCUUAUAUAGUGCUCCAUAGUGUGAAAAAUACUCGUGUAUACAACAACCCCAAGUAAAAUGCCUCAAUAGAAACAUAAAAGAUUUAUCUUAUGUUUUGCAUGGUGAUUUUGUCCAAGCGAGUGUUAUAGUGGAUGACUUUUCAAGGGAUGCUCCGAUGUUCUCUACGUGUUUAUAUAUUGUCUCUACUCCAAAAGAUAAAUAUCAUAUGAUAUAUAUGUAUAUAUAAUUGUUCAAAUUUGAUUCGUGUGGAAAGAAACGGGCUAUCGCUUUGGUUUGCGAGUUUAAAGAACUUGAAUCAAAAUGUAAGUCACUUCACAGUUUUCGCGAAAGAAAAAGGGACCACUCACAAGUAAGUCACUUCAAAGUUAAUGUUGUUCCUUUUUUAAAAGCAUAGCUAUUAAACUCCAAUCUCGAAAUAAUAGAUAUCAUCCACCACAAGCUUCAGAAAACUCAUCACGUGCUCGUCGUUUCGCUUACGAACCACUCCAAACGAUUAGCAUCAAAAGAGGCGUUGGGAUGCCUUCACUGCCGCUAGUAGAACCAGCCGAGGAAGAGACUACUGUGUCUCGGUAGCCCAACACGCGUCUCUCCACAGAAUCCUCGCGACCGUCGAGACACUUGCUCUACUUUAAGAGGACAUGAACGGAGAGAUUCCAAUCAUGUGGAGUGUCGUCAAAGGCAAAAAAAGCCUCGCCACCUCCGACCACCACGUCUCGAUGCUAUGACUGGUACAAUUACUUUUCCCUUUCUCUACGUUCAUUUGUGAGUGAGCGAGGGUAAACCGAGCGUAUCUACACAUGCUGGAUCCCCGGGGAACAGCACGUGGGGCCCACGAAUCUGACUCACGUGCCGGUGUUAGCAAAUAAAUGUGUUGCUACGUAAUGCCUAUAAUAAUUAUGUUGUUGAGAAAUUUCGAAGAGAAUCACAUUUGCAACAAAAAAAUAAAAAUAAAAAUUAAUUUCUUAAAAUAAUUUUAUCGAAUCAUCGUACGAAAAUCGAAAAUAUAAAACUUUGAAAAAUCAAAAACUGUAUAAAGGGUGUAAGACAUUCUCACUGUUAGGAAACUCGUAUAUCCUUUAAGAUCACAUAUUCCAAUCUGGUAAAGGAGCCUUUGCAAACUUCCCUCUAGCAUGUUCUUUAUUACGAACGCAACGAACGCAACGAACGCAAUAACAACAUACCUUAUUACGCAGCAUGUUCUUUAUUCGCGAUCGUGCAUCACCACGCAGCAACACACAAUGAGGGAUCGAUCUCUCUUGUUAUCCUCUCGCACCAAAGAGAGGGCAAUCAGUUGAAAGAAGAAAA
rnacentral:lncRNA from 1 species